GUUGAUUCUGAUCACAAAGACUGCCUAUUAGAUUACUUAAAUUGCAAUAAAAUUAAACAGACAACUCAGAUCCUAAGAAAUAUUUCAUUCUGAAGGAAAAACUCAGUGACAUAAGAGUGUUCUCUGAACCAGCAUCGUUCAGAAGAUCAGGCCACAGAAAGGAUGGUCCCAUUCACUUUUCCUUUUUGAUUCUGUUAUAGGAACUGAACCCAGGACCCACAACACUGAGCUUCGUCUCCAGCCCUUUUUGUAUUUUUAUUUUGAGUAGACUCCAUAUGUUACUAAGUUGGUCAAGCUGGUUUCGAAUUUGAGAUCGUCCUGCAUUAGCCUCCGAGAGUGCUGGGAUUACAAGUGUCUUCUCCCACACCUGAGCUGAAGUGUGCUGCUCCUGCAUUCAGCAGAUGGACACAUGUGAUUCUCUGAACGGCUUUCAGAUGCUAAGGUGAAGAACUUAAAGCUCAAGAAUAUUUAAGAUCUGCACUGCACAACACUCAUCAAAAGUACUUUUCAACUGAUGGUUGGUUAUGGAAAUCACCUUCAGCUUUUUAUGCCUUUACAGAAAAUAAACAUAUGCAUUCUUUAUUUCUGAACUUGUUAUCAACUGCCUCUGUCCCAUACACAAUUAUU